rnacentral:lncRNA from 1 species
UUGAAUGGAUUUGAAAUCUAGUUUUCCACAAUAAUAAAAAAGUAAUGAGUUAUCUCCCAUUUUCAGUAGUAAGCUUAUGUGUUAAUGGGAGUAUUAAGUUUGGUAAACUGAUAAUACAUUAGUGUUUUAGGAGUUUUACUUUGGAAGAGUGAUUUUUUGAAUAAAAAAGAUGUUUCUUUCGGCUUAGAAUAUGGAACUGAAAAUUUGUAUUCAGUAUUUUGAAUCAUAUUUCAACCAAAAAAGAUAUUUUUAUCAACAACCAUGAGUCCAUGAUAUAGCCUUUUUGUUCUGAUGUGGCAUAAAGCAUUCACCAAUCAAUCAAUUUUAUCACCAAUGAAUAACCUGCUGCUUUAUGAAUAGAAACACUUUAUGUAUAAAAUGUAACACUGUAUUGUUUAGGUAAUUAAUAUGUGUGUUUUGCUCAGUAAACGGAGGUUAAUAACUAGUCUAAUAAUAAUGUGAUUGUUUUCAUCAGUGGUUAUCUAUGUCAUACAUAAAGGUACAAUGUACACACAAAUCAUACUGACUGUAUUGAAAGUAUAGCUAAAAUGGAGACAAUCUGUCAUAGAUAGGAGAAAUAUAGUACUCAUUUGAUUCAAUUUUUAUCCCACACCUAGGGGCAUAAUUUUAAUGUUUUUCGUCUUUCCAUCCUUCUGCCCGUUCUUCCAUCUGUCGCGCUCCAGGUUAAAGUGUUUGGUCAAGGCAGUUUUUGAUGAAGUUGGUAUUCUAAUCAACUUAAAACUUAGUACACGAAUAGUGACAUGUUCCCAUAAUAUGAUCUUUCUUAUUUUAAUGCCAAAUUAGAGUUUUGACCCCACUUUCACGUUCUAAUGAAGACAUAAAAUGAUAUUGUGAUAGGUGCAUGCUUGUGUUAUGGACACAUAAUUUCUAUUUUUCUUUUAAAAAAUUUCUGUUUAUCAGAAGUACCCAUUUUAGUUUUAAACUGAUGGUCCUUGCAGAAAAAAGUAAGUUUUUGGUAGAUACUGAGUGACCCAGGAAUGAAGGGGGGCCCACUGCUGACUGACUAGCCUUAUGUUUUGUAAAUAUACAUGCUCUAGACCUGACAGACAUUAAGGCAGCAACCAUUUGAUUUUUGGGGGGGGGGCUAUGUUUUUUUCUGGAAAAAAAGUUUGUUUCCAGUUUUUGGAGAAAAAAAUAAUUUGUUUUUGAUUCUGAGAAAAAAAAAUUGUUUGUUUCACCCUCAGCUGCCACUAUAUGUCAUGCUAAAAUUGAAAGAAAAAAAUUGUUUUCGACCUGUUGCGAAAAAAAUAGAUUGUUUUUCGCCGCAGGUGAAAAAAAAAAUUGUCCAGAAAAAAAUACCAUAGCCCCCCCCCCAGAAAAUCAAAUGGUUGCUGCCUAAGGUUAACAUAAGUCAAUGAUUAGAUUGUAUCCUUUAUAUAUAAUAUAGAUUCCUAUAUUUGUUUUUUUGCUGUUAUUGUUUUUGACAUAUUUAUAUUUUUACCUCAUAUUUUAACAUUCUUAUUCAUAUACAUUCUACUGCUGAAUAAACUAUUUU